CGCAUCUGUGCAUGCAGCAUAUCAAUAAGCGGAGGAAAAGAAACUAACAAGGAUUCCCCUAGUAACGGCGAGUGAAGCGGGAAGAGCUCAAAUUUGAAAUCUUAAAGGGCUUCCCUUUACGAAUUGUAGUUUAAAGAAGUGUUUUCUGUUGAGGUUUUGGUAAAAGUUCUUUGGAAUAGGACAUCAUAGAGGGUGAGAAUCCCGUAUUUGACCUUUACUUUCAACUUUGUGAUACACUUUCAAAGAGUCGGAUUGUUUGGGAAUGCAGUCCAAAAUGGGUGGUAAAUUUCAUCUAAAGCUAAAUAUUGGCGAGAGACCGAUAGCGAACAAGUACCGUGAGGGAAAGAUGAAAAGAACUUUGAAAAGAGAGUUAAACAGUACGUGAAAUCGUCAAAAGGGAAGCGUUUGACACCAGUGUUGUUUUUCGGAAAAUCAAUUAAAGAACUGUUUAUGCUAAGUUGUUUAGACUUUAUCAGCUAACUGUUUAGUUUUGAGCUUUUCUUUAAUGCACUUUUCAGUUAACAAGUCAACAUCAAUUUCUUUUGCUGUAAAAAAGCUUGAGGAAGGUGGCUUGAGAUUCGUCUUAAGUGUUUAUAGCCUCUUGCCUAUGCAGUCGGAGAGAUUGAGGUCUGCAGCGUAGAUCCUUCGGGGCUAAAUGCAUUUGUGCUAAGUUAUAGCAUUUUAUAGACAACUUGUUGACUAUGAUUUGUCUUGUAGCUUACUCGCUUAUGUUAUUUUACCUACGCUUAGGAUGUUGAACGCGCACAGAGUCUC
rnacentral:rRNA from 1 species